GAUGAACGCUAGCGGGAGGCCUAACACAUGCAAGCCGAGCGGUAGAGUUUCUUCGGAAACUUGAGAGCGGCGCACGGGUGCGUAACACGUGUGCAACCUACCUUUAUCUGGGGGAUAGCCUUUCGAAAGGAAGAUUAAUACCCCAUAAUAUAAUGAUUGGCAUCAAUUAUUAUUGAAAACUCCGGUGGAUAGAGAUGGGCACGCGCAAGAUUAGAUAGUCGGUGAGGUAACGGCUCACCAAGUCAAUGAUCUUUAGGGGUCCUGAGAGGGAGAUCCCCCACACUGGUACUGAGACACGGACCAGACUCCUACGGGAGGCAGCAGUGAGGAAUAUUGGACAAUGGGUGAGAGCCUGAUCCAGCCAUCCCGCGUGAAGGAUGACGGUCCUAUGGAUUGUAAACUUCUUUUGUACAGGGAUAAACCUACCCUCGUGAGGGUAGCUGAAGGUACUGUACGAAUAAGCACCGGCUAACUCCGUG
rnacentral:rRNA from 1 species